rfam:Flavobacteriales bacterium ALC-1 1103813602122, whole genome shotgun sequence.
UAAGGUGGUUAUAGCGACGGGGCUCACCUCUUACCAUUCCGAACAGAGUAGUUAAGCCCGUUUGCGCCGAUGGUACUGCUUUCUGUGGGAGAGUAGGUCGCCGCCUUUU